rnacentral:rRNA from 1 species
UACGAAGGGGGCUAGCGUUGCUCGGAAUCACUGGGCGUAAAGGGUGCGUAGGCGGGUCUUUAAGUCAGGGGUGAAAUCCUGGAGCUCAACUCCAGAACUGCCUUUGAUACUGAAGAUCUUGAGUUCGGGAGAGGCGAGUGGAACUGCGAGUGUAGAGGUGAAAUUCGUAGAUAUUCGCAAGAACACCAGUGGCGAAGGCGGCUCACUGGCCCGAUACUGACGCUGAUGCACGAAAGCGUGGGGAGCAAACAGG